rnacentral:lncRNA from 13 species
CACUGACCUUUCUCUCAAAAUGAUCAGAGAUAGUUCAGAUCUUUGACUCCUGUAGUCCAAUCACAGACCUUGACAUUUAAACCAGGAGCAAAUAUUCGUGUGGCUUUUUAAAAAAAAUCAUGGCUUGUUGAUUAUAAUUAAGUUUCAGUCUUUCCUUCUGGUCGAUCAGAAUUAUCACCUCCCAGGACCUAUGGGAUGGUCACCUCAUGCCUCAGAAUGUUGUGGAGCAGGCGAUCCUGGCGUCUCUGAGUCAAGAGAGCUCGUUCAGUCACCUGCUUUGCGCUCCCCACCUCUGCCACCUCCUUCCCAGUUGGAACGGUCCAGAGGCCCAGAAAGACCGAAUUGUUUUGAAGGCCAGGGCCCUGCUUCCCUAUGCUGCCUCAGAACACUGCUCCCAGCAUCCAGGCUACUCUCACUACAGCCAUGGCUGAAAGGGGCCCAUGUGUGGCUCAGGCUUUCACUUUGGAGAAUGAAGUCAGAUGCCUUGGCAGCUUCCACGUGGUGA